rnacentral:rRNA from 1 species
AGUUGGAAACGGCUGCGUAAUACCGGAUACGCUCAAAAUGAACUUUUUGAGGAAAGAUGGCCUCUGCUUGCAUGCUAUCACGUAAGGAUGAGUCCGCGUCCCAUUAGCUUGUUGGCGGGGUAACGGCCCACCAAGGCAACGAUGGGUAGCCGAUUUGAGAGGAUGAUCGGCCACACUGGAACUGAAACACGGUCCAGACUCCUACGGGAGGCAGCAGUGGGGAAUAUUGCGCAAUGGGCGAAAGCCUGACGCAGCGACGCCGCGUGAGGGGAAUGAAGGUUUUCGGAUCGUAAACCUCUGUCAGAAGGGAAGAAACUACGUUGUGCUAAUCAGCAGCGUACCGACGGUACCUUCAAAGGAAGCACCGGCUAACUCCGUGCCAGCCGCUGC